CCUACGGGCGGCAGCAGUGAGGAAUAUUGGUCAAUGGACGAGAGUCUGAACCAGCCAAGUAGCGUGAUCGAUGCCUGCCCUAUGGGUUGUAAACUUCUUUUAUAUGGGAAUAAAACGUUCCACGUGUGGGAUUUUGUAUGUACCAUAUGAAUACGGAUCGGCUAACUCCGUGCCAGCAGCCGCGGUAAUACGGAGGAUCCGAGCGUUAUCCGGAUUUAUUGGGUGUACAGGGAGCGUAGGUGGAUUGUUAAGUCAGUUGUGAAAGUUUGCGGCUCAACCGUAAAAUUGCAGUUGAGACUGGCAGUCUUGAGUACAGUAGAGGUGGGCGGAAUUCGUGGUGUAGCGGUGAAAUGCUUAGAUAUCACGAAGAACUCCGAUUGCGAAGGCAGUUCACUGGACUGCAACUGACACUGAGGCUCGAAAGUGUGGGUAUCAAACAGGAUUAGAUACCCCGGUAGUC
rnacentral:rRNA from 1 species